rfam:Acinetobacter towneri strain 5-2Ac02 scaffold14.1, whole genome shotgun sequence.
UAACUGAAGAGUUUGAUCAUGGCUCAGAUUGAACGCUGGCGGCAGGCUUAACACAUGCAAGUCGAGCGGGCGAGGUUGCUUCGGUAACUGAGCUAGCGGCGGACGGGUGAGUAAAGCUUAGGAAUCUGCCUAUUAGUGGGGGACAACAUUCCGAAAGGGAUGCUAAUACCGCAUACGUCCUACGGGAGAAAGCAGGGGAUCA